CCUGGAUGCCGAGCAGAGUUAUGCGAUGGCGGUGGAAGCAGGGCAGAGCCGAAGCAGCCCGCUCCUCAAGAGGCCGGUGCGGACCCAGGCGGUGCUGGACCAGUCAGAUGUGUACACCCAUGUCCUGUCAGCCUUCGUGGAAAAGAAGGUGGGCCGCAGCUUUCCGCCUCUUCUGGACUGAGAAUGCUCAAAACAAGGAAGUUGCGGAAAACGAGGAGACUUCAUGUGAUUAGAGUCACUUGAAGUGAUUAGAAUCACUGGAGUUUCCUUGGGUGAGGCCCUAGUUUGGCUUCUAAUGCUGAGGCCUAAAGCAUAAUUGUUGA
rnacentral:sRNA from 1 species